AACAGAACAAAGAUAGAAAGAA
rnacentral:miRNA from 1 species